rnacentral:rRNA from 1 species
GACGAACGCUGGCGGCGUGCUUAACACAUGCAAGUCGAACGGAAAGGCCCUUCGGGGUACUCGAGUGGCGAACGGGUGAGUAACACGUGGGUGAUCUGCCCUGCACUUUGGGAUAAGCCUGGGAAACUGGGUCUAAUACCGAAUAGGACCACGCGCUUCAUGGUGUGUGGUGGAAAGCUUUUGCGGUGUGGGAUGGGCCCGCGGCCUACCAGCUUGUUGGUGGGGUAAUGGCCUACCAAGGCGACGACGGGUAGCCGGCCUGAGAGGGUGACCGGCCACACUGGGACUGAGAUACGGCCCAGACUCCUACGGGAGGCAGCAGUGGGGAAUAUUGCACAAUGGGCGCAAGCCUGAUGCAGCGACGCCGCGUGAGGGAUGACGGCCUUCGGGUUGUAAACCUCUUUCACCAGGGACGAAGCGUAAGUGACGGUACCUGGAGAAGAAGCACCGGCCAACUACGUG